CAGUAGCCGCGGGAAUACAGAGGAUGCAAGCGUUAUCCAUAAUGAUUGGGCAUAAAGCGUCUGUAGGUGGCUUUUCAAGUCCGCCGUUAAAUCCCAGGGCUCAACCCUAGACAGGUGGUGGAAACUACCAAGCUGGAGUAUGGUAGGGGCAAAGGGAAUUUCCGGUGGAGCGGUGAAAUGCAUUGAGAUCGGAAAGAACACCAACGGUGAAAGCACUCUGCUGGGCCGACACUGACACUGAGAGACGAAAGCUAGGGGAGCAAAUGGGAUUAGAUACCCCUGUAGUCCCUGUCUCUUAUAC
rnacentral:rRNA from 1 species